rnacentral:rRNA from 1 species
UACGGUGGGGGCAAGCGUUGUUCGGAAUUACUGGGCGUAAAGGGCUCGUAGGUGGCCAACUAAGUCAGACGUGAAAUCCCUCAGCUUAACUGGGGAACUGCGUCUGAUACUGGAUGGCUUGAGUUUGGGAGAGGGAUGCGGAAUUCCAGGUGUAGCGGUGAAAUGCGUAGAUAUCUGGAGGAACACCGGUGGCGAAGGCGGCAUCCUGGACCAAUAUUGACGCUGAGGAGCGAAAGCCAGGGGAGCAAACGGG